GAUGAACGCUGGCGGCGUGCCUAAUACAUGCAAGUCGAGCGAACGGACGAGAAGCUUGCUUCUCUGAUGUUAGCGGCGGACGGGUGAGUAACACGUGGAUAACCUACCUAUAAGACUGGGAUAACUUCGGGAAACCGGAGCUAAUACCGGAUAAUAUUUUGAACCGCAUGGUUCAAAAGUGAAAGACGGUCUUGCUGUCACUUAUAGAUGGAUCCGCGCUGCAUUAGCUAGUUGGUAAGGUAACGGCUUACCAAGGCAACGAUGCAUAGCCGACCUGAGAGGGUGAUCGGCCACACUGGAACUGAGACACGGUCCAGACUCCUACGGGAGGCAGCAGUAGGGAAUCUUCCGCAAUGGGCGAAAGCCUGACGGAGCAACGCCGCGUGAGUGAUGAAGGUCUUCGGAUCGUAAAACUCUGUUAUUAGGGAAGAACAUAUGUGUAAGUAACUGUGCACAUCUUGACGGUACCUAAUCAGAAAGCCACGGCUAACUACGUGCCAGCAGCCGCGGUAAUACGUAGGUGGCGAGCGUUAUCCGGAAUUAUUGGGCGUAAAGCGCGCGUAGGCGGUUUUUUAAGUCUGAUGUGAAAGCCCACGGCUCAACCGUGGAGGGUCAUUGGAAACUGGAAAACUUGAGUGCAGAAGAGGAAAGUGGAAUUCCAUGUGUAGCGGUGAAAUGCGUAGAGAUAUGGAGGAACACCAGUGGCGAAGGCGACUUUCUGGUCUGUAACUGACGCUGAUGUGCGAAAGCGUGGGGAUCAAACAGGAUUAGAUACCCUGGUAGUCCACGCCGUAAACGAUGAGUGCUAAGUGUUAGGGGGUUUCCGCCCCUUAGUGCUGCAGCUAACGCAUUAAGCACUCCGCCUGGGGAGUACGACCGCAAGGUUGAAACUCAAAGGAAUUGACGGGGACCCGCACAAGCGGUGGAGCAUGUGGUUUAAUUCGAAGCAACGCGAAGAACCUUACCAAAUCUUGACAUCCUUUGACAACUCUAGAGAUAGAGCUUUCCCCUUCGGGGGACAAAGUGACAGGUGGUGCAUGGUUGUCGUCAGCUCGUGUCGUGAGAUGUUGGGUUAAGUCCCGCAACGAGCGCAACCCUUAAGCUUAGUUGCCAUCAUUAAGUUGGGCACUCUAAGUUGACUGCCGGUGACAAACCGGAGGAAGGUGGGGAUGACGUCAAAUCAUCAUGCCCCUUAUGAUUUGGGCUACACACGUGCUACAAUGGACAAUACAAAGGGCAGCGAAACCGCGAGGUCAAGCAAAUCCCAUAAAGUUGUUCUCAGUUCGGAUUGUAGUCUGCAACUCGACUACAUGAAGCUGGAAUCGCUAGUAAUCGUAGAUCAGCAUGCUACGGUGAAUACGUUCCCGGGUCU
rnacentral:rRNA from 1 species